UACGAAGGGUGCAAGCGUUAUUCGGAAUUACUGGGCGUAAAGGGUGCGUAGGCGGUUCGUUAAGUCUGUCGUGAAAUCCCCCGGCUCAACCUGGGAAUGGCGAUGGAUACUGGCGAGCUAGAGUGUGUCAGAGGAUGGUGGAAUUCCCGGUGUAGCGGUGAAAUGCGUAGAGAUCGGGAGGAACAUCAGUGGCGAAGGCGGCCAUCUGGGACAACACUGACGCUGAAGCACGAAAGCGUGGGGAGCAAACAGG
rnacentral:rRNA from 1 species